rfam:Pantoea vagans C9-1, complete genome.
GCAGGUGAAUGCAACGUCAAGCGAUGGGCGUUGCGCUCCAUAUUGUCUUACUUCCAUAUUUAGAAUUAUUGCAUAGCACAUUUAAUUCGAAACAUGCCGGCCAGUGUGCCGGCUUUU